UUCCAUUUCUAUGGACUAAAUAGGAUUCAUUUUCCUACUCAUAUACAAUAGAAUGCCUUCCAAUCAAUAUUAUUCUGAGUCCUGGGAUGGAACACUUGAUCUCAUCUGAAGAGUCCCCUCUGUCUCUCAGCCCAAGUGUGAGUCCAAUCUUCUCUCUGGCACUAGAAGACAGUUCAGAAGUAAACGAGCAAAGCACGUCACUAGUGUUCAACAUCUUGAUCACAGAGUAUCUGUAGAUUUCAUGGCAGAGCACAACAGUGAGUCGAAAGAAAUGUAAAGG